UAUUAAAAACACAUCAGUGAGCCGCACUGUUGCACUGGGUGACAUGUUCCUUCAUCACCAUGAACACACACACUAUAGUUUAUUCUGACACAGAGCAACAAGUAAUGAAAAUAGUCCUCAACAAAUUCCCAUGAUUUGAUUGAAGCAUAUUCCUACUGAUUAUUAUACUGGUACCUAGUGAUUCAUUUAAAAAUGUCAGUAGGAACCAGCAGGCUGAAUGCCACAGACCGGUUAGAGAUGGGCUAACUCUUUUUAUGAGAUUUGUUGACGUUAAGAAAGAUGUAAAAUUACACCAGCCCUAGCCUUUAAUUCUUUGUUUUUGUGUACUUUGUAAAUAACUGUGCAAUUUUGUUUUUAAAAGUGCGAUUUGAAUGUUAUUGCUAUUAUUAAAAGUCGUCUUGCACUCAAAAUCCAAGCAAUCCAGUAACUAAAUAUAACAUUCAGGCUGUUCAGAACUUCUUAGUUCACAGGUGGCUGCCCUCUCUGAGGAGGAGGUGGAGGCCAGAACCAAAGCUUUAUGUGCUGAUGGAGACGAGGCACCGACUACAGAGAGUUCUCAGACAUGGGGAAGAUGGAGAAGAAACCUAAGAGGUCACGUGGUUAAGCUGAGCUCCAGUGUUACUACAGAGAGAGUGUGAAAGAAAGGAGGAGCGGAAGACGGAGAGGCCCUGCAUACCAGAUCUACCCUCCCUAAAGAAUGCUCUUCCUCCUUUUGAGGACUGUUAUCAGAACAGUUUGCUAAAUAAAAAAAAGGAACAAAAAAAUAUGAUUCAUGGAAAACUAAAGUUGUUUAAAACAUGGUUACUUCAUUGUCUGACCCCCUUGUGUCCAAAACUAAUGAUUAACUGGUAAUCUCAGUGUGUUUGUCUGCUAAAAUUAUAGAGGAGAUGUUAGCACACAGCUGCCGUCUGAAUAUACUCUCACUUCCCACUAAGGCAGCACCCUGCUUUAACAGAAACACAAACAUAAAUUCAGGAAUGACAGUCUGUGUUCCUAUUUCCUAUUGGACAUUUCCUUGCACAUUUCCUGGAAAAAAUUAUGUAAUGGCACAAAUGACAUGAAAAUGGAUAUAAAGUUUUAAGACAGAUAUUUGAGUUUGGUUAGUUGUGCUGAGUUUAUAAGAGGUUGUUGAUCUCUAGAAGAGUUUCCUUAGAAGCAUCUGCUCCAUUUAAACUGAAAUCAUUUAUCAUUCAUUAUUAUUUAGUAUUGGAAACUUUAUUCUCCAUACAUACUGAAUGGUAAAUUGCCUGUAGACAAAUUUCACAUUUUUGCAUACUGAACUGACUAAUUUUGCACAGUGUUUUCCAGGAAUCUUCCCAGGAAUUCACAUUUACAUAUCAAUUACUUUCUGAUAAAUUAUACAAAACUAUGGGACCUAUAAGUUUCAGUGACUAAUCAAGAAAGAAUCACAACACACACAUAAAAAUCUGUUUCCUUUUAUACAUUUUAUAUUUUAAAACGGUCAAAAUCAGAGUCAGAAAUUGCACUAUAAAAGGUCUCCCCUUCCUCUGUUACACUUUGUAAAAAUAUGAUCCAGUAUUUCAGAUGACUGGACCACUUUGUUUGAAUAUGUAUUGAUUCGAUAUUAUACAAAAAAUAAAUUUUAAAUACACAUAUUC